rnacentral:lncRNA from 1 species
GGAACCUAUAGCCAUAUACAAACAUUUCAGGGUUAACUUCUCUUUUACAUACUCAUGCACAUAGACACAUACUAGUACUGGUUUUUUAUUAGGAAAUUGAAGGGUUUAUUAUCUUUUUUGUAUUAAGUCAGGAAGCAUGAAAUGUCAUUUGUUCACAUUUUUCUUUGGGCAUUGAGGGACCAAAAAGGACAUAAAAAGUCAAUAAAACUCCCCCCGACCCAAUUAAAUUUUAAAACUAGAUUUAAGAAGUUAAAUCUUAGAAAAUCCUAGGUUUUAGAAAUGAUAAUUACAAUUUGAAGGAGAUUAAUCAAGAGCUUACUGAUUUUAAAAUAUAUUGUAUUCAAUACUUUUUGUAUCAUCACAGAAGAUACUGGCCCAGCCUAUCAAAAAAGUGCAAUAUAUAUAUAUAUAUAUAUAGCAUACCUUGACAAUGUAAAGGUUGUAUUGACUUACUAGCUGUAUUGAAAUGCUGGGAAACCUGAAAGAAAAGGCUAUUUACAACUAAUUUAUAGUUAUUAAGCAUUUUAAAAGUUUAAUUUGAUUAAAUGCUUAAGUUAAAAUUUGGUGAAAUUUUAAUGUUUAAUUUGUCCUGAAAUUUUUUAUGAGACAUAUAUACCCGAUUUAAUUUUAGUGUUUUAGUGUAAGCUAACAGAUGUACAGAAGGCAUUCUGAGUUGGGAAGGAACCUGGUCAGGUUUUAGGCCAGUAAGAUUCUUAAUUCUCAUGGGUAUAGACUUCAGGAUAAAUGUUACAUUUGUGAGACUUCAUAAAUUAACUCAUUUUCUUCAGACUCAAAGGAAGAAGUAUAAAUAAAACUUGGAGUAAUGAGAUAUUAUUGUGUAGUUUUGCACUUUUUAAAAAAUCAUGAAAAAAUUACUCAGUGUUGACUUCCUGGUUAAAAUUGGAAGAAUAAAAGUUAAGUUUUUCAGCUAUAUUCACUAAUGUCUUGAAUUCCUGUUGCUAAGUUUGACUUAGGGUUUCUGAGACUCUUUGUGCAUGUUAAAUUAGAACCCUAAACUUUGUAAAGGGGUGAUUUUGCCUGGUUUAUGAAUAGAGGAAUAUGAGGAAAGUUCUGCUUCUGUGUGGAGAGUAUCAGAUGCAGAUGCACUGGAAAGGGAACAAAUAUGGGCUCUGCUAAGGUCGUACAGGGAUAAGAAACCAACCAACAGGCUCUCCCAGGCCUGAAGGGUUAAUCCAAGCUUAGCUUGGAUGUUAGUGAUUGCUUCUCACAGCCAUUAACUGCAGUUUUAUAUUUAGGCUUUUUUAAAUCCAGUUUCUUUUUUCAGAUUUAUCUUUGUGCUUCAUAGUUUUUUUGCAAAUGCUAUUGUGGAAAAUUAAGAUUUUGCAAGAGCAGACAAAGCAGUGAAGUAAACCUCCAUGUGUGUAUGAUGUAGCCUCAGCUAUUACUGAUUCGUAGCCAGUUUCACCUUAUUUAAACUUCCACACCAGUCUCCAGUUUGUAUAUUAUUUUGAAGAAAAUUCUAGAUAUAUCAUUUUAUCCAUAAAUAUUUCAUACUCAUAAUAGGUAAAAUAAUUAUUUAAUAUUAUAUUAAAAUUCUCAAUUCCCUGAGCGUUGCAGAGCAUUCUUUGAAUUCAUUUAUAAAUCCUUUUAGUUUUAGAUUCAUGGAUUCUUCCUCCAUUCUAUAACAUGCCCUGCUUUCAUUUGUUCAUAUAUUAAGCUCCCGUAGCCUAUGUGUUACUGUGAGCAUUUUUAGCAUGCCAUUUAGUGAGGGUUUUUCUCCUUUGUAUUUCCGUAAACUGAUAAUUGCCUUUGAAGGCUGACCACAUUGAGAUUCUUUUUGGUUUGGCUAGACUACUGUAGGGUGGUGUCUCUUGCAUUAGUCAACACAUAGUGGCUGUUGCUGAAUUGUCCUCACUUAUGACAAGUACUGUUUCAGAUUCAGUCAUAGGCACACUGUCCAGUCUCAGCCACCAGCCACUUACAGAUGAACAGUUACUAUGUGGCUUGUCUGAAUGCAGAUAUGCGUAAAUGUGCAAACAUGUUGGAAUUCAGGUACUUACUAAUACAACACAAAAUAAUGUUAAAAAUCUCAAUUUGUUUAUAACCAUUAUGUGUUUUAAAUGAUAAUAUUUUGGAUACAUAGAAUUAAAUAAAACAUUGUUAAAAU